AACGAACGCUGGCGGCAUGCCUAACACAUGCAAGUCGAACGAGACCUUCGGGUCUAGUGGCGCACGGGUGCGUAACGCGUGGGAACCUGCCCUUAGGUUCGGAAUAACUCCCCGAAAGGGGUGCUAAUACCGGAUAAUGUCUUCGGACCAAAGAUUUAUCGCCUUUGGAUGGGCCCGCGUUGGAUUAGCUAGUUGGUAGGGUAAAAGCCUACCAAGGCGACGAUCCAUAGCUGGUCUGAGAGGAUGAUCAGCCACACUGGGACUGAGACACGGCCCAGACUCGUACGGGAGGCAGCAGUGGGGAAUAUUGGACAAUGGGCGAAAGCCUGAUCCAGCAAUGCCGCGUGAGUGAUGAAGGCCUUAGGGUUGUAAAGCUCUUUUACCCGGGAUGAUAAUGACAGUACCGGGAGAAUAAGCUCCGGCUAACUCCGUG
rnacentral:rRNA from 1 species